ACUCCUCGAAUCUCAUGGCCAAGAUAGCCGGCGAUGGUUCAUUCAAAUUUCUUCCCUAUCAACUUUCGAUGUUUGGGUAUUGGCCAAACAUGGUUGCAACGGGUAACGGAGGGUUAGGGCUCGACCCCGGAGAAGGAGCCUGAGAAACGGCUACUACAUCCAAGGAAGGCAGCAGGCGCGCAAAUUACCCAAUCCCGACACGGGGAGGUAGUGACAAUAAAUACUGAUACAGGGCUCUUUUGGGUCUUGUAAUUGGAAUGAGUACAAUUUAAAUCCCUUAACGAGGAACAAUUGGAGGGCAAGUCUGGUGCCAGCAGCCGCGGUAAUUCCAGCUCCAAUAGCGUAUAUUAAAGUUGUUGUGGUUAAAAAGCUCGUAGUUGAACCUUGGGCCUGGCUGGCCGGUCCGCCUCACCGCGUGUACUGGUCCGGCCGGGCCUUUCCCUCUGUGGAACCCCAUGCCCUUCACUGGGCGUGGCGGGGAAACAGGACUUUUACUGUGAAAAAAUUAGAGUGCUCCAGGCAGGCCUAUGCUCGAAUACAUNAGCAUGGAAUAAUAGANUAGGACGUGUGGUUCUAUUUUGUUGGUUUCUAGGACCGCCGUAAUGAUUAAUAGGGACAGUCGGGGGCAUCAGUAU
rnacentral:rRNA from 1 species